GCGGGUGUGGCGGAAUUGGCAGACGCGCUAGAUUUAGGUUCUAGUGUCCGCAGGACGUGGGGGUUCAAGUCCCUUCACCCGUA
rnacentral:tRNA from 1 species